UGUUAACUCCCAUUCAGUGUAACAACUCAAAAUUAAAAACGAAUCUAAGGUAAACCGUUGCAUUCCAUUCAAGGCAACAAUUCAAAAUCCUUCUUAACCGUUGCAUUUAAUGUAGAAAUUCAAAAUUGUUCGUAAAACCAUUCUAAGGUAAAACCGUUGCAAUAAUUUCAAUGUAACAAUUCAAAAUUGUUCAUAAAACCAUUCUUUUAAAACAGUUCCAAGUUCAAUUGUUGGAACAAAUUCAAUGCGAAAAAUUUAAAUCAUUCGCUAAACCAUUCUUGCAUUAAUUGUUGCAUUUAAUUUAGAAAUUAAAAAUUUUACGUACAACAAUUCUAAGGUAAUUCACUGAAUUCAAUUCAAUGCAAAAAGUUAUGCAUGAAAAGUUGACCAAUUUACAGAUUUUUGUUCUGCUUGUUUCACAAAUGAGGACUAUUGUGCGUAUGUCUUUUUAUAAUUUGAUGUCAAAUCCUGCCACGAAAAAA